GCCAUAGCAAGAACAAAGGAAGAAAAAGAAGAACACAAACCCUAGGUGGAAAAGUUCAAGGGAAAAUUGUGAAAAUUCAAGUAAUCAAGCAAUCAAAGGUAAAAUUUCUUGAUUUUGACUUGUGAUCUACCUUUCCCAUGCAUUAUCUUGCAUUUUCCAUGGUUGAAUCACAAGAUAUCAUGAAGAAUUCAUGGCUAGCCGAAUGGGUAUGGAGAGAGAAUGAUGUUGGAUUGAUUUGAUUUCAAGUUAUGUUAGUGUUUUUAGUUAGUUUACCAUGUCUAGAAGUAAAACAACAAGAAAAGAAUUCAUUUUUCCCAUCACCCAUCAAUGGCUGAACCUACCUUGUAUUGAGUGAGGAUGAAUUUGAUUUUUAUUUUAAGAGAAUUGGAUAGAAAAUGAUGAAUUAUGGUGUGGAAAAGUAGUAGGAAAAAUCACAGUGUUGAUGCACCAUUAUUGACCGAAAAUUCUAAGAAGAAAAGUGAAGAUGGAUUUGCCAAAUUUUAGGUUAUUUGACUUGUGUUUGGUGAAUUAAGGUAUUGAAAAAGAAAUGGAGUUAAUUGGAGUUGAAUUGAACAUAUUGGCCAAUUAAUCGGGAGAUUGAUCGAGUUAGGCCAACAUCGCAUGUAGACAAUAAUCUGAACAAUUCGCGUUUCAUAUAAUGCAUCCAUAUAGAGUUUAGAAUAGUUUUAUAAUGGUCUAGAACCAAUGUGGUAAAUUGCUUGAUUUUACAUUAUGUCUAGGUGGUGAAUCCUCCGAAAAAAAAGGGCAAAGAAAUUGCACCCGAUGAUCAAUAGUCAGAGUAUUUCAAAAUCCGAACUCUUGACAUAAUGAGUAACCUUAUCAUCAUCUUAAUUAUCUAAAGUAUGUUUUAUUCGAUUUUGUGAAUUUUAUGGAAAAUGAAUUAAAUGAUUAAUUUUUCAGUUUUAUAGAUAAUAUGUGUUUAAAUGAAAUGAUUUUAUAAAUUGUUUUGAAAUUAAAUGAUGGCUUUGAAAAUAGAGUAAUUGGAGACCACUUGAUGUGUUGUAAAUUGAUUGUUUAAAUUGAUUGGCUUAUGAUAAAUCGGGCAUGAUUGGCUGGUUGGCAAUUGUAUUGAAAUACGAAUUGUUUGUUUGCCUUGAAAGGCUGUGAAUUACAAUAAUUGUCAUAUCAUGCCAUUGAAUUUUAUUGAUUGGUGGGAUAAUUAUUAGCUUACUGCAGUGAGUGGGUUUUCGUGGACCAGCCUAUUAGAGGGGCACGGUAAACCCCGUUAUAUCUUACCUAAGUAAGAGAGGCGCGGGUGGAUAACUCCUGAGGUUAACACUUUAGAGUUCACUUCAUGCCAAACCACCACGUAAGGGUGAACUCAACCAACGCCAAGGAACGUCUAUGUUUUCAAAAUAAAAACAUGAUUUAUGCGUACAUAACUUUUUAACAGCCUUGGCGGACUCGGUUGGGAUAGCCCUCGAUCAAGGUAUCCCUGAUAACUGUGUAUGAGAUUGAUUUUGGCACGAGCCAAAGUUUUAAGAAAUUCAUAAGCCAUGUUGAUUACUUGAUUGAUAUAAAUUGAUUUUAUUUGGUUGAAACAAGUUGAAAGGUGAUGAAUUACAAUAUGUUAAACUAUUUUAUCUGUCUCCAUUUAUUCAGCUUUAGAUAUUUUAGAUGGUAUUUGUUUACUCAAUGGGAUUAUAUUAUCUCACCACCCUCCUUUCCACCCCUUUCAGGCUCAGAAUAGAUUGUAGAUAACUGAUAUCGUCGAUGACUACAAUUGGACUUGGCACAUCCAAAAACUGUAGGUUUAUUGCUUUUAAUACUUUUGGUCGUUCGUGGGCCCAUUUGUUACUGUAAAUUAAAUUAAAUACUCUGGUUUACUGUAUUACAGUAUAUAUGAAUUUAUUUUACUUUUAUGCUGUAAAAAUUAUUUAC
rnacentral:lncRNA from 1 species